AGCUUUAUAUGACUCCACAGGAAGACUUCCGAAUAACACAUUUUAUUUUAUCCUCCUUUCUCCUCUCUCUCUCUCUCCACCAAAUCUCGAAAUCAUCUCACAAGUGAAAUCAGUGAGGCUCCGGCGAACCGAUUUGCCAAUAAAUCGGUUCAAACGGUGACGAAACAUGCCUCUCAAUCUUCAGGUUGCUUUUCCGGGAAGAAGACAUUGUUUGGAUUGAGUAGAGUUCGGAAAAAAAAAAUUAGGGGAUUGAACGAAAUUUAUUUGGGGAGAUACUGCGACCAUAUUAAAGAAAUUGGUGAAAGUAUAUAGAAAAAGAUUUCAGCAAAAUUUUUAGGAGCGUUAUAAAAUGCCUAUGGGAUUUCUACUCCGUAGAACUUUAUUAUAGGGAUUUGGAGAGUGGCAUGGUCAUUGAUUCGGGGGGGCAUCCUCGCCUUGUGAUCGUAUCAAAGAACACUCUGAUACUGAUGAUAUUACGAAAUACAUCGACUUCUUGGAGUGUGUGAUAUUACUAUGUUUUCUGUUGUAAUUAAUGGAAAAUUUCCGAGAAAGUUUAAGGGGAAUCUUACAUGAUAAGGGAACCUUAAAUCCAAAGUUCAUCCUGGAUGCAUAAUUUUUAUGGACUGAAGUUGAAAAAGUGCAGUUCAUGGAGAAAUUUGUAGGGUUGCUUUCUAUUGGGAGGUUCAAUGGUGCUGAAGUUGAAGGAAAUUUUGGUCAAGUUUUUUGGAUUGAAAAAAAUAAGGAACCGGUCUAAACUCUGGAAAUUUUUUGAGCGUAGUUUGAAGGAAGAUAGGUAUAGUACAGUUGAUGGGAUGAAAAUAAUUUUUGGUGAACUGCAAGGCGGUCUCACCAUUUCAAGGUUCUUUAAGAAUGCGUAUGGUCAUUCUAAUGACCCACGGAAGAAAAUUAACUAUUACACCAAGAUAUGUGAUCAUGUGUCUGUAUUUUGUUUAAACAUAACCACUUCUAUUUUUUUUUUGCUUUCUAUUCAUUUUGCAGCAUUUUGCAGAUGGAAUGCAAGACAGAGAUUGAAGUGACACAAGUGAAAAGAAUGGCAAUUGGUAGGGACCUGAUUUUUUAAUUUUCUCCCACCGUUUGUGUUAUUAAUUCGGUAAUUAUUUUAUUUUUUUUUAUACGAAUCAUGUUCAGUGGUAUUUGAGGAGUAACCCCGAGGAGGACUACUUUUUAUCAGACUGAAAAGUUAUAACAAACCGCUUGUAUGAUUUUUGUUUACUAUAUUUUCUAUUGUAGUUAAUGAAAAAUUUCCCCAGGUGCAGAAAGUUUAAGGUCAGGGAAAUUCCAAUGUCUCUUUGCUUAAUUGUGAACUCUAUGAAUGUGCCAUCUGUACUUGUUAAUGAAGACAUUUGAGAAGUUGCA